rnacentral:rRNA from 1 species
AUUGAACGCUGGCGGCAGGCCUAACACAUGCAAGUCGAACGGUAACAGGAAGAAGCUUGCUUCUUUGCGGACGAGUGGCGGACGGGUGAGUAAUGUCUGGGAAACUGCCUGAUGGAGGGGGAUAACUACUGGAAACGGUAGCUAAUACCGCAUAACGUCGCAAGACCAAAAAGGGGGACCUUCGGGCCUCUUGCCAUCGGAUGUGCCCAGAUGGGGAUAGCUAGUAGGUGGGGUAACGGCUCACCUAGGCGACGAUCCCUAUCGUCUCUGAGAGGAUGGCCAGCCGCACUGGAACUGAGACACGGUCCAGACUCCUACGGGAGGCAGCAGUAGCGACUAUUGCACAAUGGGCGCAAGCCUGAUGCAGCCAUGCCGCGUGUAUGAAGAAGGCCUUCGGGUUGUAAAGUACUUUCAGCGGGGAGGAAGGGAGUAAAGUUAAUACCUUUGCUGAUUGACGUUACCCGCAGAAGAAGCGCCGGCUAACUCCGUG